rnacentral:rRNA from 1 species
UACGUAGGGUGCAAGCGUUGUCCGGAAUUAUUGGGCGUAAAGAGCUCGUAGGCGGUCUGUCGCGUCGGCUGUGAAAACCUGGGGCUUAACUCCGGGCUUGCAGCCGAUACGGGCAGGCUAGAGUUCGGUAGGGGAGACUGGAAUUCCUGGUGUAGCGGUGAAAUGCGCAGAUAUCAGGAGGAACACCGAUGGCGAAGGCAGGUCUCUGGGCCGAUACUGACGCUGAGGAGCGAAAGCGUGGGGAGCGAACAGG